AUGGGCUGCACGGGGGUUGUUUAUUCACUAAAGCUGCCCCAGUUUAGUCUUCUUAUGCCACAAUAUAGGACGAUCCCUCGCGGCUUCCUGGUAAUGAAUGACCCGAGGGUAACACCAACACAACCUUCGAGAAAAGGCGGACCAUUUCCCCAAGCCCGAGAUCUGCAGGACUGAAAUGAAAUAUUUUGAGCUCUUCUAGCUGACUCAUCAGAAUCCUGGAGCAUUUUUUAAAAUGACGAGUGAAUAGACUAUAAGCAGCCAUCUCUUUCUCAUGCAGUCCAGCCUGAAAUGGAAAUU
rnacentral:lncRNA from 1 species